rnacentral:lncRNA from 1 species
GAAAGAUUGAAUCAGCCACAGUUCUAUAUAGCAUUGAAAGAGCAUUUGCAUCUCUUUGUCUACAUUUUUCGAGUUCCUUCUUCUUGACAUCUGAUAAGCCUUCUUCAUUUUCAGGUUCAUCAAAGCCAUUUUCGACCAUGUCCUGUAGAUCCAUUAGUAGAAAUGAAGUCUUCAUCCUCACACCCAAAGUCAAAAAUUUGCCAUCUUCUUCUUUAAACCCUUGCUACCAAAUCUCAACUGCAAAUGCACGAAUAGAACCUGGAGCACUUUGAUACCAAAUAUAUGUUGGCUGAGACUGCAACUUCGAGUAUUACAACGCUAGUUUCACGCAUAUGAAACUAGGCAAAAUUUGUACUGCAUAGAUUUCACUUGUAUGAAACUGGUGUAAUAUAGUUACUGCUAAAUGAAACAGAAAAAUAUGGAGAAGGAUUAAAACAAAAGAAAAACAGAGACAAAAAUGAGGAAAAAUGAGAAUGGAAAAGAAACAAAAACUUUCUUUUCUUCUAAGUUUUCUUACACUUACAUCUUAAACGAUUAGUGCAUAUUUUGCUACAUUUAACAUUUUUCUUUGACAUAUAUGGACUCUAAUAUGCAUUACAAAAUCAUAUUUUUAGCCCGUAUUUGUUUGACACUUUUCUUUGACUUUUCUACCAAAAAACACAUUAUAAAUCACAUAAUAACAAUAUUUAAUAACAUGUUUUUGGUUGUUCAUUUUUGGGUCUUCCAUGUGUAUGAUCAGUUUGUCAAGAUGUAGAGCUAAUGAAUGCUGUAAGUUUUGGUUUCGGCUUCUCUUUUAUGGGGUAAAAGAAAAUUUUUUUGGUUGUUAAAUUUCUUUAAGUUCAAGAAAGCCUGCUACAUGCUUGCUCACAACAAGGAUUAAUUAGAUUAUAAUUAAGAAAUUCCUUAUAAGAAAUUAAGGAAUUAAUCAGUUUUCUCGUUGAGGUCAAAGCCCUUUUGAUCUUCCACCAAGAAACUGGUAUGUUUCCUAUAACAGCUAGAGUGGUUACAGAACCAGAAAAAUAGCUUUCUUUCUGGUAAAAUUUUGAGGGAAAAAAGGGCUUAUUUCUUUUGUUUGAAGUGACUUCAUUAUUCAAAUGGGCGUUUGUUGUUUAGACAUGUUAUAUCAAGGUGCAUAGCAUUAGCAUUGUUGAAAAAAAACUGUUUUGAAGGCAAACAAAAAGUUGCAGAAUUGGCCCUCAACGAUGAAAAUUUCCAAAACUUCUGUUAAAUUGCCAUGUAGCAUUAAUAUGCUUAACAUUAUUGACACGCCCAGCUCAAAUUAACACUAGUGGAUCGGAAAAGUGACGUGCACCAAUGAUAGAUACCAACCCAAAGUCGGGCCCAACAUCAAGGCUAUUACAAUAUGGACCGUUUUAUAAUUUGGUUUUAAUAGAAUUUUAGCAUUAUUUCCCCUAUAAAUAAACUAACCGACCUGUAAUUCAUCAUGUACAAAUUUCAAAAAUAACAACACAAUAGAGAUAAGCCGAAAUCUCAACUUUUACAAUGAAAGCAAAAUAAAACAUAUAUAUGAAUGCAAAAUACCUUGUGAGCCCCAUAACUAUCUACAAUUGAUGCAAAAUCACAUCAUGAACAUUUGUCCCAAAACUCUAACUACAUGCUCUAUAAAAUGAAUCAUAUUGGCAAG